rnacentral:lncRNA from 10 species
CCAGGGUUGUAAUGAUCAUGUGAAGCAAAUUGUCAACUAGUGUAUAUUACUGCCAACUGUCAUUUAUAACUUCAAAUUACUAUACAAACGUUAUCUGUUGUUCUUAGAGAUGAUCAAGUGAGAAGCUGAAGCUCAGAGAGGUUAAAUUAUUACAUUGCUAGAAGCAAGGCCUGCUGAUUUUCAGCUUAGUGUCCUUUUCCUUGUAUUAGUGGUUUUCAAAUUUUUUUUUUUUUUAGCCAAGGGACUCUUUCUUCAAAUGAAACCUUAGGAGAAAGAACAAUAUAGGAAAUGAUGAAAGAGGAGCUGCUCUUAUUGAAGUGGGAGGAGGUUGGUUGGAGCAACCCUGCUUUAUGCUGUGGGUCUGGUGACUUGGGUCUCCUCAGAAUGAAACAUUCUGACGCCCAGGCUAAAGGAGCAGCAGCUCCUAGAGGAAGCUCUUCUUACACAGUGGUGGAAGGACAAGAGGGCACAUCCAACUGCGCAAGAAGUUUUCCAGCCACUCCUUUGCAGUUAUGUCUGCAAACAACCCGUUGGUUAAAGCAAGUCAGCAGGUCCAGUGCAAAGACAAAGCAAAAGGAGGAUUAUUCCUUCCAUGGAGUGGAAAUGGGGGGAAGUAAAUAUUCUUGAAUAAUAAACUAAUAUACCACACUAGGUUUGGGAUUGAUAAACUGACCUUUCAUUGUUUGUUUUGAAAAUCCACCCUCCCCCUGA